UGGGGAAUAUUGCACAAUGGGCGCAAGCCUGAUGCAGCCAUGCCGCGUGUAUGAAGAAGGCCUUCGGGUUGUAAAGUACUUCCAGCGGGGAGGAAGGCGGUGAGGUUAAUAACCUUACCGAUUCACGUUACCCCCCGAAGAAGCACCGGCUACCUCCGUUCCAGCAGCCGCGGUAAUACGGAGGGUGCAAGCGUUAAUCGGAAUUACUGGGCGUAAAGCGCACGCCGGCGGUCUGUUAAGUCAGAUGUGAAAUCCCCGGGCUUAACCUGGGAACUGCAUUUGAAACUGGCAGGCUUGAGUCUUGUAGAGGGGGGUAGAAUUCCAGGUGUAGCGGUGAAAUGCGUAGAGAUCUGGAGGAAUACCGGUGGCGAAGGCGGCCCCCUGGACAAAGACUGACGCUCAGGUGCGAAAGCGUGGGGAGCAAA
rnacentral:rRNA from 1 species